AUUGAACGCUGGCGGCAUGCCUUACACAUGCAAGUCGAACGGCAGCACGGGACUCGGGCAACUGAGCCCUGGUGGCGAGUGGCGAACGGGUGAGUAAUGCAUCGGAACGUGCCCAGUAGUGGGGGAUAACUAGUCGAAAGAUUAGCUAAUACCGCAUACGACCUAUGGGUGAAAGCGGGGGAUUCGCAAGAACCUCGCGCUAUCGGAGCGGCCGAUGUCGAUUAGCUAGUUGCGGGGUAAAAGCCCACCAAGGCUUCGAUCAGUAGCUGGUCUGAGAGGACGACCAGCCACACUGGGACUGAGACACGGCCCAGACUCCUACGGGAGGCAGCAGUGGGGAAUUUUGGACAAUGGGCGCAAGCCUGAUCCAGCCAUGCCGCGUGCGGGAAGAAGGCC
rnacentral:rRNA from 1 species